rnacentral:rRNA from 1 species
GAGUAAUGCGUGACCAACCUGCCCCAUGCUCCAGAAUAGCUCUUGGAAACGGGUGGUAAUGCUGGAUGCUCCAACUUGACGCAUGUCUUGUUGGGAAAGUGUUUAGUGGCAUGGGAUGGGGGUCGCGUCCUAUCAGCUUGUAGGCGGGGUAAUGGCCCACCUAGGCUUCGACGGGUAGCCGGCCUGAGAGGGCGGACGGCCACAUUGGGACUGAGAUACGGCCCAGACUCCUACGGGAGGCAGCAGCA